GGGGCUCGGGGCGACGAGCAGACCAUCGGCACCGCGUCGCCGCCCCCCCCCCUCCCUCACUCCCGGCUCCUGCAGUCCGUGCCGCCUCCUCCCUCCCUCCUGCACUCCGCGCCGCCCCCUCCCUCACUCCGACGAUGCAGAGCUCUACAAAAUCCGUGGCGCCGCCCUCCCUUCCUACCUCCCUGCACUGCGCGCCGGCCAUGUCCCUCCCUCCCUCCCCUGCAGUCCGCGCGGCUACCCUAGCAUCUGUACCCGCGCCGUCCCGUGCGCACCAAGCCGAAGCACGACCGCCUCUGAUUCAUGGCGCCGCCAUGCCCUCCGGACCCGCGCCACCAUUACCGGUUCAAGAAUGGGUUCAUCUUACUUGGACAUCAUAAAGAUUAACAGCUCCAGUAGCAGCAUUGACGAGCUUGGAGUUGCAUGAUAACUUGAAAUACAAGGAUGGCACUGCAAACUACUUGAAAGGACUUAUGCUGAUCUUGUGUUAUCUGAUCGUUGCUGCCAGUUUCUUUGUUCAUGUUGAUCCGCAAUCGAUUACAGCUCAAGAGGAGGAAGUAUAUCAAGAUUGUUUUCUUCUGAAGAUUUUGGUGAUCCUUGCACUACGUGGACACUUGACUACUAGAGAAGGAAGUGUUCUACCCGGAAGAGCAGAACGGGCUUCUUUUUUUUCCUUUUUUUGGAGAUAGAAGAGCAGAACGUGCUGAAACUACAUUAAAAACUCUGGAGCCAAGCUGUACUUCAGUAUCCCAUUCACUGUCUUUGUUGUGAUAAUCAGGAAACCUUCUCCAUUGGUUAUCUCCUUAACGUUGAUGCAAAGUGUUGUGCAUCUUGUAAGAUUGUUGCGCAAUAUUGAAUGUUGACUCUGACCUUGUGGAUGAUUUCUCCUAA